rnacentral:rRNA from 1 species
GACGAACGCUGGCGGCGUGCUUAACACAUGCAAGUCGAACGGAAAGGCCCUGCUUUUGUGGGGUGCUCGAGUGGCGAACGGGUGAGUAACACGUGAGUGACCUGCCCUUGACUUUGGGAUAACUUCAGGAAACUGGGGCUAAUACCGGAUAGGAGCUCCUGCUGCAUGGUGGGGGUUGGAAAGUUUCGGCGGUUGGGGAUGGACUCGCGGCUUAUCAGCUUGUUGGUGGGGUAGUGGCUUACCAAGGCUUUGCCGGGUAGCCGGCCUGAGAGGGUGACCGGCCACAUUGGGACUGAGAUACGGCCCAGACUCCUACGGGAGGCAGCAGUGGGGAAUAUUGCACAAUGGGCGGAAGCCUGAUGCAGCAACGCCGCGUGCGGGAUGACGGCCUUCGGGUUGUAAACCGCUUUCGCCUGUGACGAAGCGUGAGUGACGGUAAUGGGUAAAGAAGCACCGGCUAACUACGUG